rnacentral:tRNA from 1 species
GCCGACGUCGCAUAAUGGUAUUGCAGUGGAUUGCUAAUCCACGACGGUUUUCCGUCCUCGGAGUUCGAUUCUCCGCGUCGGCG